rnacentral:rRNA from 1 species
AGCGAACGCUGGCGGCAGGCCUAACACAUGCAAGUCGAACGAACCCUUCGGGGUUAGUGGCGGACGGGUGAGUAACACGUGGGAACGUGCCUUUAGGUUCGGAAUAACUCAGGGAAACUUGAGCUAAUACCGAAUGUGCCCUUCGGGGGAAAGAUUUAUCGCCUUUAGAGCGGCCCGCGUCUGAUUAGCUAGUUGGUGAGGUAAUGGCUCACCAAGGCGACGAUCAGUAGCUGGUCUGAGAGGAUGACCAGCCACAUUGGGACUGAGACACGGCCCAAACUCCUACGGGAGGCAGCAGUGGGGAAUCUUGCGCAAUGGGCGAAAGCCUGACGCAGCCAUGCCGCGUGGAUGAUGAAGGUCUUAGGAUUGUAAAAUCCUUUCACCGGUGAAGAUAAUGACUGUAGCCGGAGAAGAAGCCCCGGCUAACUUCGUGCCAGCCGCCGCCGUAACAC